rnacentral:lncRNA from 1 species
UGAUGUAAUACCCAGUUUAGAAAUGUCACCUUGUACAUUCUACUAUUAGAACUUUCACGACUAAGUUUAAAGCUGGACUGAAUUCCUUUAAAAAUAUAUAUAUAUAUUUUUUUUAAAUUGAGGGGGCCGAACCCUCGCUGCCGACCGCGGGGGGGGACGACGGGACGGGACGACAGUUUGGGAACCACUGGUAUAGACGACCACCUAUUGUUUCAAUCAAUCAGCUGUGUUUCAGUACAAUGUCUAUAUGGGGUACAUGUCAAUGAAGCCAAAUGUUACUUUUUUAGUGUCUUAGUUUACCCUUAAAUUGCAAUAACAACGAUAGAGACCUUUGAAAAUUGGACUAUCCAAACCUUUAUUCAAAGAAAGCACUGUUGUGAUAUUUAAAAUGACAAGAAACAAAGCUUAACCUACUGUACCAGUGAGUGGAUGAAGUGAUGUGCGUUACCAAUACCUACCAGUGAGUGGAUGAGGUCAUGUGCAUUACCAAUACCUACCAGUGAGUGGAUGAGGUGACGUGCAUUACCAAUACCUACCAGUGAGUGGAUGAGGUGAUGUGCAUUACCAAUACCUACCACUGAGUGGAUGAGGUGACGUGCAGCACCAAUACCUACCACUGAGUGGAUGAGGUGACGCGCAGCACCAAUACCUACCACUGAGUGGAUGAGGUGACGUGCAGCACCAAUACCUACCACUGAGUGGAUGAGGUGACGCGCAGCACCAAUACCUACCACUGAGUGGAUGAGGUGACGUGCAGCACCAAUACCUACCACUGAGUGGAUGAGGUGCCGUGCAGCACCAAUACCUACCACUGAGUGGAUGAGGUGACGCGCAGCACCAAUACCUACCACUGAGUGGAUGAGGUGACGUGCAGCACCAAUACCUACCACUGAGUGGAUGAGGUGACGUGCAGAGUUAGUUUUUGUCUUACCUUGUGAGAGGUAGUGUGUGGUUCAUAUAGCCCGUGCAGUGGGAUGUGUUCAUAUCUUAAACAAUUAUUAUAACAAUCAUUUAUAC